GGGGUUGUAGCUCAGUGAUAGAGCACUUGCCUUGCAUACAUGAGGCCCUGGGUUUGAUCCUCAGCACCA
rnacentral:tRNA from 1 species